AAUUAAUGAGGGACAUGCAAGAUUCAUGAAAAGCUUCAAAGUUAUGUCCAAACAUAAAAACCUUAUUUAAUGCAUAGUAAAAGACCCCAAGUAUUGAAAACUAGUCAUGUCAAAUGCAUGCAUGAGGUAUCUAGAGCAGAUUUAGUGAAUUCUAACCAGCAAGAAUAGCUCAUGAUACCUGCAUGGCAAUGAAGCCAGCUAAAACUCCUAUUGGAUUUGGUGAUAUAAAGUGGCCUCAAUCUCUCUGGCAUUUCCAACUGCUAACAAUAUCAGUUAACUCCUGCACGAACCAGCAAUGCGGCGCUUCGUUGGGCACUUCUUACUACUUGUUCUCCUGGUUUCUGGACUAGAUAUAUAUUGCUCAUUCGGACUGUGAAUGUGAGAUUGUGUUCGAGUACUUCCCUGACUGCCUGGAUUUUCUCACAGGCUAUUACUACCUUAAGCUAUCAAAAAAAUGUUAGUGGCCAUAUCUAUAAACUCAAGAGAUUAAUUAGCGAAACAUGGACCGGUGGCACAGCUGAUUUGUUUGUGCAUUGAGUACGUGGUACUGAGGGGUACGGAGCCUUGGAUAAUUAAGGGCUGAUAUCAUAUGUGAUCGUCAAAGAGGUUGAAGUUUUAUGGAUCACGGGACGGCAUGCCUUCUUGAUUGAGAUGCUAGUAUAAACUACAAAGUCAAUCUUAAACGGUUUACGUUAAACCAUGCAGUUUAAUGAAUCAAAUUGCUGUAUCUCAGUAAAUUUUCAUAGAACUAGAAUUUUGGUUACAAGCACUGUAUGCACGAUUCUUUUGGAGAUGGAAAAUAUAUUAUGACUCUAAGCAUUGGCCACACCACUAAUGUAAAAAAUCACUAAUUCUGAAAGGUCAAAUUCUGCCGCUGGCUACCAUCCAUAGCUAGUAGUUACAGAAGUUUGGCAAUCUCAGCCCAAUCUGUGAGAGGCAGAGUUCAUGAACUUAAUUAAUCUAAAGCAAUCGUAUUUCGGGAUCAA